rnacentral:rRNA from 1 species
GCGGGAAGCGGGCCCCAAGAUGAGUUCUCACUAGAUCUUUAAGAUCUCUGUAGGUUCGUCGAAGACUACGACGUUGAUAGGCUGGGUGUUGAAGUGCAGUAAUGUAUGAAGCUAACCAGUACUAAUUAACCGUGAGGCUUGACCAU